AUGCAGACACUUCCCAGCACCCCUUGGGCCAGUGCAGAAGAAACAGUGAUGAAACUUCAGGUAUUGGCCACAAGAUGGCACUAUGACGCCACCGAGAUCUACGGGGCUCUGGGCAGAGGAGAGCGAAGCCGGAGCUCAGCUCUUACCCAGGAGAACCAGAAGGUGAGCGCGAGGUGCUCGCUGCCCACCCCGCGUGCCCUGGGCUCCAGCCUCGUUCCCUGGGUGAUGCUUUAUCUCCUGGAAGCAGGCCCGUUGGAGGCUGGAGUCACCCAAACUCCGAGACACCUGAUCAAAACAGCAGGCAGACAGUGACACUGAGGUGUUCCCCUGUGUCUGGGCACCGCAGUGUAUCUUGGUACCAACAGGCCCUGGGUCAGGGCCCCCAGUUCCUCUUUGAGCUUUAUGAAAAUAUGCAGAGAGCAAAAGGAAGCUUCCCGGGUCGAUUCUCAGCACAGCAGUUCCGCGACGCUCGCUCAGAGCUGAGCGUGAGCUCCUUGGAGCUGAGCGACUCGGCCCUGCACCUGUGUGCCCGCAGCUUAACACAGCCCUGCUGA